rnacentral:rRNA from 1 species
UACAGAGGGUGCGAGCGUUGUCCGGAAUUAUUGGGCGUAAAGGGUGCGUAGGCGGUUUGGUAAGUCUUAUGUGAAAUCUACAGGCUCAACUUGUAGUCUGCAUGAGAAACUGCCGGGCUUGAGUAUGGGAGAGGUGAGUGGAAUUCCUGGUGUAGCGGUGAAAUGCGUAGAUAUCAGGAGGAACACCUGUGGCGAAAGCGGCUCACUGGACCAUAACUGACGCUGAUGCACGAAAGCUAGGGGAGCAAACAGG